rnacentral:rRNA from 1 species
GCAAGCUCAGUACGAGCAAAUGGUGGAUGCCUUGGCAGUUGGAGGCGAUGAAGGGCGUGGUAGGCUGCGAUAAGCCACGGGGAGCCGCCGAGCAGGCACUGAUCCGUGGAUGCCCGAAUGGGGUAACCCACCUCGAUGGAGUCGAGGUAUCUGGGGCCGAACUGAGUAGGCCCUAGAAGCGAACCCGGGGAAGUGAAGCAUCUCAGUACCCGGAGGAAGAGAAAUCAACAGAGAUUCCCUAAGUAGCGGCGAGCGAACGGGGAAGAGCCCAAACCUCAGGUGCGUGAUAGGCUGCAUCCGUUGUUCCUGAGGGGUUGUAAGCAGUUCCAUCUCGGUCAUGCAGGACCGAGCAGGGUUACAAGUAAAGCCUAGCCAAACGGCCAGCAAAGUCACUGGAACGGGCGACCAUAGAGGGUGAUAGUCCCGUAGGCGAAAGGCCAAGCUACCCUGGGGAUUUGCUUGAGUAGCGUCGGACCCCAGAAAUCCGGCGUGAAACCGGGAGGACCACUCUCCCAAGGCUAAAUACUCCCAACUGACCGAUAGUGGACUAGUACCGCGAGGGAAAGGUGAAAAGAACCCCGGAAGGGGAGUGAAAUAGAGCCUGAAACCAUUUGCUCACAGACAGUGGGAGGGCCCAGAUCUCCUACCAUAGCACGGGCAAAACUCCUUCGGGAGUGGCACCCAGCGCUAUUGGAGUUCGGCCUGACCGCAUGCCUUUUGCAGUAUGAUCCGGCGAGUUAUCUUAGGUGGCAAGGUUAAGCCGCGAGGUGGAGCCGCAGCGAAAGCGAGUCUGAAUAGGGCGCUUUAGUCACCUGGGAUAGACCCGAAGCCAGGCGAACUAUCCAUGGCCAGGUUGAAGCCUAUGUAACAGUAGGUGAAGGACCGAACCCGUAGAGGAGGAAAACUCUUGGGAUGAGCUGUGGAUAGCGGUGAAAAGCCAGACGAGUCCUGGUGAUAGCUGGUUCUCCCUGAAAUAGCUUUAGGGCUAGCCUCACGCACCGAAGCGCACGGGGGUAGAGCGACCGAAUGGAUGCGGGGCAACCCUAUUCCAACCGAACUCCGAAUACCGUGCGUGAAUCCGUGAGAGUCAGACGGUGGGGAAUAACUCCAUCGUCGAGAGGGAAACAACCCAGACCGCCAGCUAAGGCCUCAAAAUCCGGGCUAAGUGGGAAAGGAUGUGCGAUUGCUUAGACAGCUGGGAGGUUGGCUUAGAAGCAGCCACCCUUUAAAGAGUGCGUAAUAGCUCACCAGUCGAGCGGUUGUGCGCCGAAGAUUUAACGGGGCUCAAGCCCGGUGCCGAAGCUGCGGGUUGGUCAGGUCUCUUCGGGGACCAGGCCAGCGGUAAGGGAGCGUUCCGCCAUAGGAUGAAACCGGUCCGUAAGGGUCGGCGGACGAAGCGGAAGUGAGAAUGCCGGAAUGAGUAGCGCGAGCUGAGCGAGAAACUCAGCCACCGAAUGCCUAAGGUUUCCUGGGGAAGGCUUAUCCUCCCAGGGUAAGGCGGUCCUAAGUUGAACCCGAAAGGGGCAGGCGAUGGAUAGCCGGUUAAUAUUCCGGCCCCUCUCUUUAGGCGUUGACCACGGGGUGACGCCGCAGGUCGGGACGAGCGGGCGGACGGAAGUGCCCGUCCAAGCGUCAAGGCGUCGGGCUCUAGGCAAAUCCGGAGCCCGGUUAAGUCGAGGCGUGAUGGGGAGCUGCUACGGCGGCGAAGGAAGUCUGAUCAGCGGCCAAGAAAAACCUCUAGGGAGCCUAGGAGAGACCGUACCGCAAACCGACACAGGUAGGCAAGGCGAGUAGCCUCAGGUGGGCGAGAUAACCCUCGUUAAGGAACUCGGCAAAAUAAUCCCGUACGUUCGCAAUAAGGGAUGCCUCUCUCGCGAGAGAGGGGCCGCAGAGGAUAGGCUCUGGCGACUGUUUAGUAAAAACACAGCUCCCUGCCAACCCGAAAGGGGAUGUAUAGGGAGUGAAACCUGCCCACUGCUGGAAGGUCAAGGGGAGGGGUGCAAGCUCUAAACUGAAGCCCCAGUGAAGGGCGGCGGUAACUAUAACCGUCCUAAGGUAGCGAAAUUCCUUGUCGGGUAAGUUCCGACGUGCAUGAAUGGUCCAACGACUGGAGCGCUGUCUCAACGAGGGGCUCGGCGAAUUUGAAGCACCGGUGAAAACGCCGGUGACCCACGGCAGGACGGAAAGACCCCGUGGAGCUUUACUGGAGUUUGGUCUUGAGUCUUGGCGUCUAUUGUGUAGGAUAGGUGGGAGCCUAUGAAGCCGGGGCGUUAGCCUCGGUGGAGGCGUCCUUGAAAUACCACCCUGUAGGCGUUAUGGCUCUAACCGAUUCGCCGUGAAGAGCGGCGAUGGGACAGGGCUAAGCGGACAGUUUGACUGGGGUGGUCGCCUCAAAUGUGGGGCGCUCUGGCGGCAACGUCAGAGGCAAAUCUGGCUGUAUGCUGGGAAAUCCGUUUUGCAGGCGCCAGCUGUGCCGUUAUCCAGUUGGCAGCCGAGCAAGUGUAGUAUUUGGCACUACCAAGCGAAAGUCGCUUGGUGAAAAGGUGACCAAUGCGGAUAAUCAGCAGGGAAGUCAGGGAAGAAAAUCCCUUGACCCCUCAACGACUGCACGCCAGACAUCCCACUGGGAUGAUGAUACAGUCUGAACUUCCAGGCGACUGGAAGCCGGAUAGUUCGGGGUUUGGUCGUUCUGAAGGAGCAAAUCGUACUAUGCGAUCCAAUGAGAUCGAAGAGUACAAGAAAGGCUUGAAGCUUACUGAAGAGCAACGAGCAGUGCUGAUCGGUCUAAUGCUGGGCGACGCUCAUCUUGAGACGCAGAACCAAGGUCGUACCUAUCGCCUCAAGAUCGAGCAGAGUGAGGCACAUUGUGCCUACGUUAGACACCUUUACCGGCUGUUCGCUGAGUGGGUGCGAACCCCCCCUCAGGCCAAGAGGGUGACAAGCCGAGGUCAUGUCAGUCGCAACUGGUGGUUUCAAACUUUGAGUCACAGCGCUUUCCGCUUCUAUGCCCAACAGUUUUAUCGGGAGGGGCGGAAACAGGUGCCAAAGUUGAUCCAUCGUUGGUUAAGUCCUCGUGCGUUAGCCUACUGGUACAUGGAUGAUGGCUCGGUGAAAUCGGCGCAGUCGAAGGGCGUGUUGCUCAAUACCCAAAGCUUCAGCCUGAGUGAAGUGGAGCGCCUUUGCCAGGUACUUCAGGAGAAGUACUGCUUGAAGGUCAAGUCGCGCAAGCAACGCUCAGGUUAUCAGAUCUACAUCUCGGGUGACUCAUACGAGACGUUACGCGAUCUGAUUGAGCCUUAUCUCAUUGCAGAGAUGCAUUACAAGCUCCCGACGGCCAGACAAACACAAUUGCCUAAAAGGUAACGGAGGCGUACAAAGGUCCGCUCAGGCCGGUUGGCGAUCGGCCGUGGAGUGCAAGGGCACAAGCGGGCUUGACUGCGAGACCGACGGGUCGAGCAGGAGCGAAAGCUGGUCCUAGUGACCCGGUGGUGCUGCGUGGAAAGGCCAUCGAUCAUCGGAUAAAAGUUACCCCGGGGAUAACAGGCUAGUACCGCCCGAGAGUUCACAUCGACGGCGGUGUUCGGCACCUCGAUGUCGGCUCACCUCAUCCUGGGGCUGAAGCAGGUCCCAAGGGUCCGUCUGUUCGCCGGUUAAAGAGGUACGCGAGCUGGGUUUAAACCGUCGUAAGACAGGUUGGUCCAUAUCCGCCGUGGGCGUAGGAGACUUGAGGGGCACUCUUCCUAGUACGAGAGGACCGGAAGGGCUAGACCGCUGGUCUACCAGUCGUCCCGCCAGGGGCGCCGCUGGGUAGCUAUGUCUGGAAAGGAUAAGCGCUGAAGGCAUCUAAGCGCGAAGCCCACCCCAAGAUUAGGUCUCCAGGGUCCAAGCGCCUUCGGGCGCGCGGACCGAGAGGUCCCUGCGAGAAUAGCAGGUAGAUAGGCCGCAGGUGGAAGCGCAGUAAUGCGUGCAGCCGAGCGGUACUAAUCGACCGAUCGCUUGCGCGACCAC